rnacentral:rRNA from 1 species
GGUUAAGCGACUAAGCGUACACGGUGGAUGCCCUGGCAGUCAGAGGCGAUGAAGGACGUGCUAAUCUGCGAUAAGCGUCGGUAAGGUGAUAUGAACCGUUAUAACCGGCGAUUUCCGAAUGGGGAAACCCAGUGUGUUUCGACACACUAUCAUUAACUGAAUACAUAGGUUAAUGAGGCGAACCGGGGGAACUGAAACAUCUAAGUACCCCGAGGAAAAGAAAUCAACCGAGAUUCCCCCAGUAGCGGCGAGCGAACGGGGAGCAGCCCAGAGCCUGAAUCAGUGUGUGUGUUAGUGGAAGCGUCUGGAAAGGCGCGCGAUACAGGGUGACAGCCCCGUACACAAAAAUGCACAUGCUGUGAGCUCGAUGAGUAGGGCGGGACACGUGGUAUCCUGUCUGAAUAUGGGGGGACCAUCCUCCAAGGCUAAAUACUCCUGACUGACCGAUAGUGAACCAGUACCGUGAGGGAAAGGCGAAAAGAACCCCGGCGAGGGGAGUGAAAAAGAACCUGAAACCGUGUACGUACAAGCAGUGGGAGCACGCUUAGGCGUGUGACUGCGUACCUUUUGUAUAAUGGGUCAGCGACUUAUAUUCUGUAGCAAGGUUAACCGAAUAGGGGAGCCGAAGGGAAACCGAGUCUUAACUGGGCGUUAAGUUGCAGGGUAUAGACCCGAAACCCGGUGAUCUAGCCAUGGGCAGGUUGAAGGUUGGGUAACACUAACUGGAGGACCGAACCGACUAAUGUUGAAAAAUUAGCGGAUGACUUGUGGCUGGGGGUGAAAGGCCAAUCAAACCGGGAGAUAGCUGGUUCUCCCCGAAAGCUAUUUAGGUAGCGCCUCGUGAAUUCAUCUCCGGGGGUAGAGCACUGUUUCGGCAAGGGGGUCAUCCCGACUUACCAACCCGAUGCAAACUGCGAAUACCGGAGAAUGUUAUCACGGGAGACACACGGCGGGUGCUAACGUCCGUCGUGAAGAGGGAAACAACCCAGACCGCCAGCUAAGGUCCCAAAGUCAUGGUUAAGUGGGAAACGAUGUGGGAAGGCCCAGACAGCCAGGAUGUUGGCUUAGAAGCAGCCAUCAUUUAAAGAAAGCGUAAUAGCUCACUGGUCGAGUCGGCCUGCGCGGAAGAUGUAACGGGGCUAAACCAUGCACCGAAGCUGCGGCAGCGACGCUGAUGCGUUGUUGGGUAGGGGAGCGUUCUGUAAGCCUGCGAAGGUGUGCUGUGAGGCAUGCUGGAGGUAUCAGAAGUGCGAAUGCUGACAUAAGUAACGAUAAAGCGGGUGAAAAGCCCGCUCGCCGGAAGACCAAGGGUUCCUGUCCAACGUUAAUCGGGGCAGGGUGAGUCGACCCCUAAGGCGAGGCCGAAAGGCGUAGUCGAUGGGAAACAGGUUAAUAUUCCUGUACUUGGUGUUACUGCGAAGGGGGGACGGAGAAGGCUAUGUUGGCCGGGCGACGGUUGUCCCGGUUUAAGCGUGUAGGCUGGUUUUCCAGGCAAAUCCGGAAAAUCAAGGCUGAGGCGUGAUGACGAGGCACUACGGUGCUGAAGCAACAAAUGCCCUGCUUCCAGGAAAAGCCUCUAAGCAUCAGGUAACAUCAAAUCGUACCCCAAACCGACACAGGUGGUCAGGUAGAGAAUACCAAGGCGCUUGAGAGAACUCGGGUGAAGGAACUAGGCAAAAUGGUGCCGUAACUUCGGGAGAAGGCACGCUGAUAUGUAGGUGAAGUCCCUCGCGGAUGGAGCUGAAAUCAGUCGAAGAUACCAGCUGGCUGCAACUGUUUAUUAAAAACACAGCACUGUGCAAACACGAAAGUGGACGUAUACGGUGUGACGCCUGCCCGGUGCCGGAAGGUUAAUUGAUGGGGUUAGCCGCAAGGCGAAGCUCUUGAUCGAAGCCCCGGUAAACGGCGGCCGUAACUAUAACGGUCCUAAGGUAGCGAAAUUCCUUGUCGGGUAAGUUCCGACCUGCACGAAUGGCGUAAUGAUGGCCAGGCUGUCUCCACCCGAGACUCAGUGAAAUUGAACUCGCUGUGAAGAUGCAGUGUACCCGCGGCAAGACGGAAAGACCCCGUGAACCUUUACUAUAGCUUGACACUGAACAUUGAGCCUUGAUGUGUAGGAUAGGUGGGAGGCUUAGAAGUGUGGACGCCAGUCUGCAUGGAGCCGACCUUGAAAUACCACCCUUUAAUGUUUGAUGUUCUAACGUGGACCCGUAAUCCGGGUUGCGGACAGUGUCUGGUGGGUAGUUUGACUGGGGCGGUCUCCUCCUAAAGAGUAACGGAGGAGCACGAAGGUUGGCUAAUCCUGGUCGGACAUCAGGAGGUUAGUGCAAUGGCAUAAGCCAGCUUGACUGCGAGCGUGACGGCGCGAGCAGGUGCGAAAGCAGGUCAUAGUGAUCCGGUGGUUCUGAAUGGAAGGGCCAUCGCUCAACGGAUAAAAGGUACUCCGGGGAUAACAGGCUGAUACCGCCCAAGAGUUCAUAUCGACGGCGGUGUUUGGCACCUCGAUGUCGGCUCAUCACAUCCUGGGGCUGAAGUAGGUCCCAAGGGUAUGGCUGUUCGCCAUUUAAAGUGGUACGCGAGCUGGGUUUAGAACGUCGUGAGACAGUUCGGUCCCUAUCUGCCGUGGGCGCUGGAGAACUGAGGGGGGCUGCUCCUAGUACGAGAGGACCGGAGUGGACGCAUCACUGGUGUUCGGGUUGUCAUGCCAAUGGCACUGCCCGGUAGCUAAAUGCGGAAGAGAUAAGUGCUGAAAGCAUCUAAGCACGAAACUUGCCCCGAGAUGAGUUCUCCCUGACUCCUUGAGAGUCCUGAAGGAACGUUGAAGACGACGACGUUGAUAGGCCGGGUGUGUAAGCGCAGCGAUGCGUUGAGCUAACCGGUACUAAUGAACCGUGAGGCUUAACCUU